rnacentral:rRNA from 1 species
CGGGAGGCAGCAGUUAGGAAUCUUCCGCAAUGGGCGCAAGCCUGACGGAGCGACGCCGCUUGGAGGAAGAAGCCCUUCGGGGUGUAAGCUCCUGAACCCGGGACGAAACCCCCGACGAGGGGACUGACGGUACCGGGGUAAUAGCGCCGGCCAACUCCGUGCCAGCAGCCGCGGUAAUACGGAGGGCGCGAGCGUUACCCGGAUUCACUGGGCGUAAAGGGCGUGUAGGCGGCCUGGGGCGUCCCAUGUGAAAGACCACGGCUCAACCGUGGGGGAGCGUGGGAUACGCUCAGGCUAGACGGUGGGAGAGGGUGGUGGAAUUCCCGGAGUAGCGGUGAAAUGCGCAGAUACCGGGAGGAACGCCGAUGGCGAAGGCAGCCACCUGGUCCACCCGUGACGCUGAGGCGCGAAAGCGUGGGGAGCAAACCGGAUUAGAUACCCGGGUAGUCCACACCCUAAAC